UGCUUUUCAUGUCUAAUUUCACUGGAUCAUGUUGAGCUUCUGGGGAUGGGAUUGAUAGCACCCCCACUCUACAGAGGAGGAGACUGAGGCUCAGAGAGGGGAGACAUGAGCUGAAGGAUGCACAGUAACUCAUCAAUGUGGAAUCUUAGCUCCAACCCCAGGACAUGAGACGUCCCUCGAGGGAAGUCUUGCUUUGUUACUCAGGCUGGAGUACACUGGCAAAAUCAUGACUCCCUGCAGCCUCAACAUCCUGGCUCAAGCAAUCCUCCUACCUCAGCCUCUCAAGUACCUGGGACCACAGGUGUCACGCCUGGCUACAUUGAUGUCCAGCAAAAUAUUCCUGGGGAACGUUGGGGCCCCACGAAGGCAAACCACCCAGGUCCCGGCUCUGUCUUCCUGGUAAAAGCAAAUCAGGCCUUGUCCCUCCUAACUCCCAAUUUCUCUUCCAACUCAGGAAUGCAGGGCCUGGCCUGUCUCAUUCCUAGACACGCCCUGCCCUGCUCUCUCCUGUUCUCUCGAUUCCAGUCACACCAGGCCUGUGUGUGUGUAUGUGUCUGUGUGUGUGGGUGUGUGGAUGGCCCUGUGGGGGAGUGGUUCCCAGAUCUGUAGCCUAGGGGCCUCUUCCCCGGGCCUCGGCUCCAGGAGCCCCUCCCUGCGCCCUAACAAGCUGCUGUCCCUUGGCCUGUGUGUCCAGGUCCUGCCAGGCGUCUUCCCCUCCACGCUGCGGGCUAUGGGAAGUGGCUUGGUCAGUUUAAUGAGUUGAAUGAUGCCCCACCCUAAAAUAUAUGUCCACAUUCCAGAACUGUGAAUGUGACUUGACUUGGAGUAAGUGUCUUCAAAGAUGUAAUUCAGUGGAGGAUCUCGAGAUGAGAUCAUCCUGGAUUAGGGUGGCUGGCCCCGAAAUCCAAUGACGGGUGUCCUUAUAAGAGAUGGAAAAGGAGAAGACACAGAGACACACAGAGGGGAGGGCCAUGGGACGGCAGCGGCAGAGAUUGGAGCGAUGCAG